GAACCCACUAUUUAUAGAGGUGUUUACAUGUCUCUCUCUCACUCUUUAUCUCUCAUGUGUCACAAGGCUAAUACUCCACAUGCAAGUGGGUUUUACAAAAGUCAAACAUUACAAAGUCAUGAAUGAAGAACUUUGCACCCCAACAUUCUCCCCCUCAAAGUUAGGAAUGAAUGACCCACUUCAAAUCUUCCAAAAUAAUCACUACGCGGUUCGAGCCUCAAAGGUGACACAUGUCGAAACGAACUUCAAUCUUCAAUUCUUCCAUGAUUCUUCAAUUUGGGCUCUAGGAUGUGAGACCAUACAAUCUGAGCAGCAACGAAUGAUCAAGAGUAUUUCAAACUCCAAAUAAUCACCCAAAAGUUGCGCAUAAAAACACACCCCAAAAAUCUUCAAUAAAUCCAAACCCAUUUCGAAUACAUCACUUCCGAACUUCCAAUUGCAUCAUCUCGUAGCUUUAAAACUUUAAGAUCACUUCGGUCUUCAAAUCCGCGUAAUAUGAAAAAUUCAAGUUCGAAUUUCCAUAUUAAACUUCUCCCCCUUUUUAUAAUCGAAAUUUGAUUAUAAAACUCCAAGGAAAAAGAACGUGCUCUAUUCAGAAUUUUUCAUGUCAAAACUCCCCCUUAACAUGUGGCAUAAACUUUGUGCUUCAAUCCGGAAAAUCCAAAAAAUAAUCAAUUUUUAUCUUCGUUCACGGAUCGCCUUUGACAUAAUUUCUCAAAAAUGGGUAGAAAUUGUCAAUUUCAAAAUUCUGCAGUGACCCGUUGCGCCAAAAAUAGCCAAAUAUGCGAAACAUACUCCCAUAUGCGAAAUUGGGUAAAAUGUGUAAAUUCGCACAAACUACAUGGACCAGAUUUGAAAAUAUUCCAAUUUUUCAAAAUUUUUACCCCAAAUGCGAAACUGGGUAGAAUUUGCCAUUUUGCGAAGACUGCAGGGAUGCGAAAUGAAAAUUCUGCACUUUUGUCAUUUUAUAAUCCCAUUUGCGAAGUUGGACCAAUUGAGUCAUUUUGUGAAAAUAUAAGGGGUCAAAUUUGAAACUAUUUGCUUUCUUCCCCAAUUCACAUUUUACAGUGUAAUACUUCGCACCUUCCAUAUGCUUCGCACAUCUACACACCAUGAAUACUUCGCAUCUUGAAUCCAUCUAAACAAAUGCAAACUGUUAAUCACCUUCGCAUUUUUAAUCCAAAUAACCAAAUAUGCGAAAUUAAUUGAGACUCAAAUGCGAACUCAUGUUUUGAUUUCUAUACCCAAAUGCGAAGUGAUGCUGGAAACCCAGAUGCGAACUUGAUUUUGAUCUCAUGCGAACCGUUCUUGACCUCAAAUGCAAACACAAUUGAUUUCAUAUGCGAACCUAAUCAUCAAAUGCGAACAUUAUUUUUGAGACCCAGAUGUGAAUAUUCUUGGCAUUCAAACCAGUUAACCAAAUGCGAACCCUUUUCAAUCUCUAACUGAAGUUGUUGCCUGUUUGAUGCGAACGUUUACAAGAAAACAAUUUCGCAUUCAUCCUGAACAACAAACGAUUUUGACUUCAAACCAAGCAAUCGAUUUUCAAAAUCAAAUUCGCAUUUCCAGAUCAACCAUUUGAUUAUCACAUAUCCAUUAAACCAUACGAGAGCUAAUCAAAACCAAAAUCCAAACUCAAACUUUCGCAAUUUUUCAUCAACAGCGAGCUGUCAUCACAAACUGGCCAUCGAUUCCAACUCUUCAAUCAAAAUCGAUUAUCAAUUCCAUCUUGACUUCGCAUCGACAAUUUGUUCAUCAAUCGACUCUAAUCAUUAUCGAUUCUAACUUCAUCAUCGAUUCUAAUCAAAAUUAUAUUGGAUUUCCAAAAAUUAUUCAAGAAGCAAAUAUAAUCUGUGUUUGACAUCAAGAACCAAUUUCGAAAUUAACCUCCAAAUUGAAUAUGAUUUCAACAUCCAAAUCUUCAAAACAGCUUGUAUCUAUCGAUUUUAGCAUACAAGUCACCGAUUCAUCGCUUGAAUCAUGACUUUGACUUUAGUGCUGGAUUUGACUUUUCGAAAUUAUCAGUCAACAAACAUGAAAUUGAUGAUUCUCACAUACAAUUUCAGAUCAAAACAAGAUUAUCCAAUUGUUCUAACAAUGUUUGUAACAUCCCGGAAUAUCAAGAGUAAAGUUGAAGGGCUAAAAGAGUAAAUUGGGAAGGGGAACUCGGCGAGUCCAUGGGGGGACUCGGCGAGUAGGGUCGCGACUUUGGUCGCGUGUUAAGUGGCCGACUCGGCGAGUCAACGGAUGGACUCGGUGAGUAGGCGCUGAGUGGAGAAAACCCUAAAUCCGGAGGAUGAGCCCUAUAUAAAGAACAUUAUACCCUCUCCCCCAGCCUCUUUACCCUCUGUUGAAGUCCAAAUAGCCCUAAUACGCGAUUGUGAGGGAUUAGAGUGCAAUUGGAGCUUGGAGAAGUCGUUGUUGAAGAAAUCUUGAAGGAGAAGAGACUUGGAUCAAAGGGCUUUGCAAGGAUCCGGAUUAAUCUUCUCUGGGAGCUUCCUUUUGAGGUAUUAUUUCAUUGUUUAAGCUGCUGUUAUCUAGAUUCAUCAUUUUUGGAGGUGUUAGAGAUCAUAUCCUUUGGUGUAUUGGAGUUUAGAGGUUAGAUCUGAGGUUGCUACCUCAGAUCUGGAAUGGAGAAGGGUUAGAAUGCAUAAAAGUCCCUGUUUUUGAGUGAUUGAAGGAGCUAUCUUGUCCCAAACCCAAACCCUAGAGUGAAAAUGCCUAGAUCUCCUUGGAUUCACGUAAAGUUUGCCACUUUACGUGAUGGAUGGCCUUAGGAAGGGUAGAUCUAUGGUUUGGAUCAUCUGCAUGGCUUGGAAAGCCUCGGUAUGGAUUCAGACCCGGUGGUACUCGGCGAGUCACAUGGGUAGACUCGGCGAGUUGCUUGAAGAUAGGCUGGAACUCGGCGAGUUGGAAGAACAACUCGGCGAGUUGGAUGAAGAUGGCCUGGAACUCGACGAGUUGGAAGAACAACUCGGCGAGUAGGUUGAAGAUAGCCUUAGACUCGACGAGUCUGUUCUUGGACUCGACGAGUCUUGUCGAAGAGUCCCAAUCUUUUCUGGUUGAGCCGAGAAUCGGUGAGUCAAGGGAUGACUCGGUGAGUUGUGUGCGAGUGGACUCAGAGUUGUUGGACUCGGCGAGUCUCGGGGUGACUCGGCGAGUUGGGUCGCGGAUUGAAGGAAAUUCUGAGCAUGGGGACUCGGCGAGUCAUCGGGUUGACUCGGCGAGUAGAGUCAGUCAGGGGUUGACUUUGACUUUGACCAAGGGUUGACUAGUUGUCUUCCAGGGGUAUUUUGGUAAUUAUUGAGUUCAGUGCCUUGGUGUUGUUCAGUGGAGGAGUUCGUGUCGGAGUUUGGAGCAGCGGGAUCUUAUCUUUUCAGCCGGCAGUUUCGAGGUGAGUUAUCCUCACUAUAUCAACAGGGUCUAAGGCACCAAGGCCGGCCCUUUAUCGGAUUGAGAUCCGGGUAUUUGUUGUAUGUUAUUGCUUUGAUAUGUUGCAUCCUGGUAGCUAGGAUGGUAUAUGUUAGAGACCUGGUUGAGAUCGGUAUCCUGAGAUGUAGGGUGAUGCUAUGCUAGUGACCGGUUAGGUCGGUAUCCUGGUUAGGAUGAUGAUAUGUUAUGUGAUCUGUUUGAUCGGCUUGUUGACUGUGAAUUGUUAUAUGAUUGUAUGUUUAUGUGCACAUGGUUGUUUGGACUGGAGUUGGGUUGAGGCGGGUCCUGCUUUGUGCUGUAGGCCAAGAUACCCAGGGCGGACCGGUUGUCCCGAAGGCCCAGCGAGCGGUCCGGAUAGGCUGUAGGCCCCAAGAGGGCGGACCAGACGUGCCGAGGCUCGGAGAGUGGACCAGGCCGACUGAAGGCCCGGUGCGGGCGGACCAGUCAUACUGUAGACUCAGAGAGUGGACCAGGUGGAUUGAAGGCCCGGUGCGGGCGGACCAAUCACACUGCAGACUCGAUGUAUGUGGUUAGAUUCGGAGAGUGGACCAGGUGGAUUGAAGGCCCGGUGCGGGCGGACCAAUCACACUGCAGACUCGAGGUAUAUGGCUAGACUCGGAGGGUGGACCAGGUGGACUGUUGGCCGGUGCGGCGGACCAGUCACACAGUAGACCCGAAGUGCAUUGUUGUUCUGUGGUCGGAUAUGAUAUGGCAUGUUAUGCGUGUAUGGUAUAUAUGGUUGGUAUUUUGGGGAUAUCUCACUAAGCUUUCGGGCUUACAGUUGUGGUUUAAUGUUUUUCAGGUUCUUCAGGAGACCAUGGCAAGGCAAAGGCGUGAUCGUACCGCUCCUCAUGUUUUGUCGUGAUGUGAUUCUGGGAAUACUUUAAAUAAAUUGUAUUGAAAACCUUUUUGUAAUAACUUUAAUGGAAUUGGGCUGUUUUUGGAAAAUUUAAAUUGGUUGGAAUUUUUCGGUUGUUACAAUGUUCUUCACAAAAAUUUGGAAGAUCUUGAUCAAUUUCAUCAAACUCAAAAGCUCAUUGUCGACUUCUUGACUCAAAUUUGAACAAAGUCAUUUUUAAGAUAGAGCACAUAAUACAAAAUCGAUUCAAAAUGCUAUUUUAACAAUCAAAACAAGCAUCAAUCGAUUAUUCAGAAUGAUCGAUGAAAUUGGAACAUGGAACAAUAACCACAAUGAAAGUCAAGAACGUACAACUCCUUUAUGCGUAUGAUAAAAGUCGACUCAAUCAGUGAAUAUUAGAAAUUGGAUGGAAUCACUUCCUGGGCUUAACCACGAAAUCAGAUCACAAAAACAAAUAUGGACUCAAAAUAAUGAACAGUAACUAUUUCGACUUUUGGGCUCAAUGAAAUCGGACAUGAACAGUUAGACAAACUUUAAGGUUUUGGGCUUGAAUUUUGAUCGUAUGAACAAUAACGAUUUAAGAUAUUAGAUCAUAAAAUGAAUUUUGAUCUUAAAUCUCAAUUCAAAAGAACAUUUGCAAUUUGAAAAUCAAAUCAAACAAACAAAUAAGACUGGAUCGGGAUUUGAUCAACACAAAAAUUAUUGGAUCAUAACAAAUGGGUUUUUCAAAGAAAAUUUGAUCCAAUGAGUCAAAUGAUCACAAAUCAAAAAAUGUAACGCACGAUUCAAUGAAAUUAAGAGAGAUCAUAGAGAGAGACUCACCAAAAUUGAUCAAAUUGCGACAAAAAAAUUGCCAAACCGAGAAUCGUUCUUCAAAAAUCACCUUGAUCUUGAAGACCCGCUCUGAUACCAAUUGUAGUGACAAAGAACAUGGUUUGACAUGCGGAAUUAAAGCUUGCACAAUUGAACAUGGUGAUUUGGGUGUUUAAGAGAUAUAUUGAAUGUAUAUGGUGUUACACAAAAAGGAUCUAGAUCUAGACUACAUAAAUAACACACACUUACACACUCACUUUUACAUCUCUCAAGCACACCUCUACAAGUGGUAUGAACCCACUAUUUAUAGAGGUGUUUACAUGUCUCUCUCUCACUCUCUAUCUCUCAUGUGUCACAAGGCUAAUCCUCCACAUGCAAGUGGGUUUUACAAAAGUCAAACAUUACAAAGUCAUGAAUGAAGAACUUUGCACCCCAACAUGUUGAGUAUCACAACCAAUGUACAUAGUAAGCGAAGUAAACAAACAUUAAAUUACAUAUUAGAAUUUACAUUUGUUUGAAAACCAAGUGUUACAGUUGUUAUACAUAUGUAUAUAAGAACAAAAGUAAAGACGCAUCUUCUACGCACUUCGUCUUCGCCAAAAAGGAUCGUUGGGUACCUGUCUAAUGUGGACCUGAGAAUACAAGCAGUUUGAAAAUCAGUAUAAAGCUGGUGAGUUCAUAAGCGGUUUUAUUUUCUGAAAAAUGUACAAGUUUCCUUUCGGUUUCUGUAAAAGUUACAAAUCCAAG
rnacentral:lncRNA from 1 species